GUGGGGAAUUUUGGACAAUGGGCGCAAGCCUGAUCCAGCAAUGCCGCGUGCAGGAAGAAGGCCUUCGGGUUGUAAACUGCUUUUGUACGGAACGAAACGGUCCGGGUUAAUACCCUGGGCUAAUGACGGUACCGUAAGAAUAAGCACCGGCUAACUACGUGUCAGCAGCCGCGGUAAUACGUAGGGUGCAAGCGUUAAUCGGAAUUACUGGGCGUAAAGCGUGCGCAGGCGGUUUUGUAAGACAGGCGUGAAAUCCCCGGGCUCAACCUGGGAAUUGCGCUUGUGACUGCAAGGCUGGAGUGCGGCAGAGGGGGAUGGAAUUCCGCGUGUAGCAGUGAAAUGCGUAGAUAUGCGGAGGAACACCGAUGGCGAAGGCAAUCCCCUGGGCCUGCACUGACGCUCAUGCACGAAAGCGUGGGGAGCAAACAGGAUUAGAAACCCCUGUAGUCC
rnacentral:rRNA from 1 species